GUAUAUAACUAGGUCAUAUAUAUACCACACAUAAAACUCUAGCCCCCGACACACAGAAGACACUCCACUCUCUCCAUCUCAUGCUCUCUGUCUCUUCCUCUCUCUCUCCAUCAUUUCUUCUUGAUAAUGGUCAUCCAAGAACAAUCCAGAAAAUCAAAACGUUAAUUCAAUAACAUUCCUUUGAUCUCUUGCUCUUCUACGGAUGUUCUUGCUAGCAGGAGAAAACCAUAUCCUCCUAGUGGGAGCGUGGACAUUUUUGGAGGAUCUCUGCAUAGAGAUCUAGAUCUGAUGAAGGGAAUCAAUGCUUCAAGCGGUUCAAGAAAUCAACGAGAAUAUAGUUUCAACUAAUGCUUUCAUUUAUUUCUUGACUUUUCUUGGCCUAUGUAUGUUUUUAUACACCAAAUGCCCGAGAAUGAUCAAGGAUACACCCCUUGAUCGGGAUUUAUAUUUGUGUUUUUCGAUUAAUUUUGAUUUCUAGCGCUUUUGUCUCAUUUUCUUGGUCGAUCUGCUUCCUACAAGUGGUAUUACAAUCUGGUUCGAUGUUUAGGCCUUGAGUCCAGCAUAUUUUAUGUGAUUCAACAUAUAAACGUGUUUAUUCAGCUUUGAAAGCAUGAGAUUUGGUGAUUAAUUGCAUAUCUAGAUCUAGAGUUUUAUGUGUAUAAUUUUUCAUGUAAUUUGGAUAUGAGAAAUUUGAGAAUAGGGAUAUUCUGAAUUUAAUUGAUUUUUUUUUGUUUCAGAAAAUUGUAGGAAAAAAUAGGGGAGUUUCAGAAAAACCAAAAAAACCCAGCAGAAGUGCUAUUGCCUUUCGGUCGGCACUGGCUAGCAGGCGCGCUAGGGGCAAGAACCCUGCUCGCAGCUGGCAACAAACGCGACCACUUAUUAGGAGCAAGCCUGAAUGAUAGAGGCCCAUGGAGGAGGUCAUUGGUUGGCCCAUGGAGAUCUAUGGAGAAGAAGCCUGGAGGAUGGAGCCCACGAUGGAGAUCAAGAAAAAAAAAAAAAAAAAGAGAGAGAGAGGUGUUACAAGGCUCAUGAUGUGUUAAUGGUUGAUAACUUGUAAUAGCGUAGGACUACCCUUAUAUUAACCAUUGAUAAACUGCGGGCUCAGUGAGUUGUAUUGGUUUUGAUCUUGUGAUCAUCCAACAGGGGCGUGCUAGACUUUUAUUUUGCA